rnacentral:lncRNA from 12 species
UGAGAAGUGACCCCUUGAUGGCUCUUCUUUGCCACAGUUCUGCAUGGAUGCUCAAAGAGGUUGCUUCUUUCUCCAUCUCUGUGAUGAUCUCAGGCUGUGGCUUCCAAUAUAUUUUUCUUACCAGCUUUCAGAAAAGCCGUAUUAGGGCAUCAAAUGAGGUGGUGGCUAGAUAUUUUAUCCUUGGUUCCUUCUAUUCACUACCUGUUUAAGCACUCCAAUUCUGGGUGAUCCUAAGUAUAGGCAUAGCUCAUCUGGCUGCAGACUCUGACUAUUCAAAGGGUGUCAUGCUGAGUCAUGACCUUAAAGCACUUGAGACCCCCCACAACUCAUCUUUCAAAAAACAUUCUCUCCCCAACCACUUCCCCCACCCUCAUUCCACCCUUUACUUCUGCAAUUGUGGACAAAGAAUCUGCAAAAGCUCCUGACUUCUCCCUCUCCCUUUGCUUCCCCCUCUCUUCCUAUCUGGGUUGGCCAGAAAGAAGACUGGCUAUGUAGGACCCUAUCUGUGCAAAAGCAGUCCCCAAGAGUUUGUGAGUACGAAGAUUGCUCCUGUGUCUGAAUCUGCACUGUUCAAGAGGACUCAGGAUACUUUUCUUUUCUGUCCACUAGGGGGCUGCUUGUAGGGGGAUGGAAAAAACGAAGGCUUAAAAAAAAAAUAUCAUGCUGCUGAAAUUUCAGCAAGAGGGGAAAAGAGAGAGCGCGUGAGAGAGAGACAGCAAAGCAGUCCCAGGCUUCCUUGUCUCUCACGUCAGAGGCAGGAACCUACUGUGCUAAGGCUGUUGGCUCAACACGCAGAGACGGAGAAAGGCACAGACACAGAAAACGAGAAAAGAGGGGUCCCCCCUGACCCAAGGAAUUACCACCAGUGGAGUAAAGCCACCUGACUUUUUAAUCUUAUUUUUGUUGCCUCCUCUUUCUCCUUCCACUCUAGCCCUGUCAGCUUGGGUUUCAUUUCUUUCGUGGAGCCUCCUCUCUUCCUCCCAGAAAAGGAGGAAGGGAAGAAAAGGGAGAGAGGUGGGUUCUCUAGGUGAGCGCAUCAGCUGGUUCCAGCCGCACAGACAAGAAUUCUCUUCGCAGGAAGCUCCUCUCGCUCCCCUGCCGCCCACCCUCAGCCGGUCUAUACCAUGGAUGCCUGCAAGAAUCUUCAGUUCUUUACGGGGAACUGGCCAGUGUCGGAAACUGAGAAACCAGCUCUGCUCACACCAUCUUAAAUUAUCAGGUUUGCUCAGCACUUUUGCCAGAGCUGCUUCUGCUUUGUUGUUAAAGUUGCUUUUUUUGGUUUGCCUUCAAAAUUUAUCAAGUGAAGUGGCUCUGUGGGUAACUAAGCUGCCCAAGUAUGCCCACUACACAGCAAGAACACUGUCAGAGCUUAGGUGAUGUUGCCCUUGGAGAUCCAGGUGGAGAUGCUGUCUCACAGGGUCCAUUGGGGCACCUUAGUGCUCAUUUACCUCAUCCCACCUCGUCUCCUCUAGGGCAAAAUUGUGUUAGUGAGGAUUAUAUAUUAAUAUUGCUAGCAAGGAUGGGCAAUAAUGGCCCUACACAGCUCCUGGUUUUUCUAAAUAGUGUGAAAUAUAAUUUUAUAUUUAAAAUUUUUUAAUCAAAAAUUCUAUGUAAAACAGUAUACAGGUGUAUAAAGAAAGUGCUAAUAACUUUCUGACCCCUCUAAUUCCAUGCAACUGAGAUGACCAAUGUCCACAGCUUAGUGCAUACACCCUUCCACUACUUUCUCAAUGUUUGCACACACACACAUACCUACACACACUCGCGCACAUUUUCUUGUUUGUUUGAUUUGGUAAAUGGAAUCAUUCACUACAUGUUACCCUAUAAUUUGCUCCCAGUCUAUAGAAUUGUAGAUAUAACUGACAUAUAUAUAUAUAUACAUAUAUAUAUUUCUGUAAUAAAGACUUAUAAUCAGGGGUUGCUGAUCA